GGUGGAUGUCGGAUAAUUCAGGCGGGAUCCUGGUGGGGUGCAUCGGGAUCAACCACGCUAGCUU
rnacentral:tRNA from 1 species